GUGCUUGCUUUAGCAGCACAUAUGCUAAAACUUGAAUAAUAAAGAGAAGACUAGUGGACCCCUUUUGCAAGGAUGACACAAACCUCAUAAGAACAGAGAUCUAAGCCA